AACGCGAAGAACCUUACCUGGGCUUGACAUACACCGGAUCGGGCUAGAGAUAGUCUUUCCCUUUGUGGCUGGUGUACAGGUGGUGCAUGGUUGUCGUCAGCUCGUGUCGUGAGAUGUUGGGUUAAGUCCCGCAACGAGCGCAACCCUUGUCUUAUGUUGCCAGCAUUUGGUUGGGGACUCAUGAGAGACUGCCGGGGUCAACUCGGAGGAAGGUGGGGAUGACGUCAAAUCAUCAUGCCCCUUAUGUCCAGGGCUUCACACAUGCUACAAUGGUCGGUACAACGCGCAGCGACACUGUGAGGUGGAGCGAAUCGCUGAAAGCCGGCCUUAGUUCGGAUUGGGGUCUGCAACUCGACCCCAUGAAGUCGGAGUCGCUAGUAAUCGCAGAUCAGCAACGCUGCGGUGAAUACGUUCCCGGGUCUUGUACACACCG
rnacentral:rRNA from 1 species